AACGAACGCUGGCGGCAUGCCUUACACAUGCAAGUCGAACGGCAGCGGGGGAGAAGCUUGCUUUUCCUGCCGGCGAGUGGCGAACGGGUGAGUAAUACAUCGGAACGUGCCCUGUAGUGGGGGAUAACUAGUCGAAAGAUUAGCUAAUACCGCAUACGACCUGAGGGUGAAAGUGGGGGACCGCAAGGCCUCAUGCUAUAGGAGCGGCCGAUGUCUGAUUAGCUAGUUGGUGGGGUAAAGGCCUACCAAGGCGACGAUCAGUAGCUGGUCUGAGAGGACGAUCAGCCAAACUGGGACUGAGACACGGCCCAGACUCCUACGGGAGGCAGCAGUGGGGAAUUUUGGACAAUGGGCGAAAGCCUGAUCCAGCAAUGCCGCGUGUGUGAAGAAGGCCUUCGGGUUGUAAAGCACUUUUGUCCGGAAAGAAAUGGCUCUGGUUAAUACCUGGGGUCGAUGACGGUACCGGAAGAAUAAGGACCGGCUAACUACGUGCCAGCCGCCGCCGUAA
rnacentral:rRNA from 1 species